UUUUAUUUCUACAGUUUAAUUUGUUUAAAAGCUCUUCAAAUCAUAAACUGAUAUCAUUUUUUAAGUAAAUUUUAGGUUUCGAGCAUUACUAAAUACACACGAACAAGAGACAAAACGUCCAUUGCCAAAAAUUUCAGGUACUGAUACCGGGAAUUUUGGAUUGGACCUAAAAAUUUUCAUGGUUAUUCGGGAUUACACUAGAUAGAAAUUUCAUCUAGAAAAUUUAAGAGCGAGUAAAGACCGUUUUUUUAUGACUUCAGUAAGAAACUACUUCAAUCUCCUUUAUGUAAUAGAGGGCGUUUUAAAUAAAAGUAUGUUGCCUUCCAAAAUACAACUGAUGGCGCAAUGAAAGGGUGAAAUGCUAUAAAGGUUUGUAUGCGCAGAGAAUGAAACAUUCAUCUACACGAGAUAUCUGAUUUAAUACCUACAAUUUCACUGAUCAUAGCUGCUUGCAUUUACAUCCAACAUACUCGAACGGAUGCCUCUACUUUUACCAGGAUUAUACUGCCCAAUUAUUUUUUUUUAAUGAAAUAGUAAAAUGAGUAAACGUUAAGGAAAACAAAACUACCAAAUAAACCUACGUAUUUAUAAAAUGGACACGAAUGAUAGUUCCAGUAAAAGAAAAAAAACUUGAUAUUGACACUCUUGGGGGAUUGGACACGUUUGGGCGUUUAUACAAACUACACGAUGUGGCGCCUUUAACAUUUAAGAAAUGACUGUAAUAUUUGUUCUGUCUAUGAAGAAAUAACAUAAAAAAAUGAGGUGCACACUGAAUAACGCGCGUAGCGGGUUAUUUAACAGCGUGCACCACAUUUCUUAUGUUAUUUCGAAUAGACAGAAAAAAUAUUACAGUCAUUUUUUAUAAUUUAAUUCUGAAUUCCAUUUUAAACUGUAGAAAACCACGAAAAAAUGUUGAUGACGUCACGGUCACAUGACUAAAUUAUGUCUAUGUGCUGAUAACAAAAUAAUGUCAGCCAAUCAGAAGACGUGUUACAUCCAAAAUUAAACUAUUUUGACAUGUUUUGCAGUUCAGUGACGUCAAGGGGACACGUUUGGGGAAUCGAACACGUUCGGGGGGACGGACACGUAUCUGAGUGUCACAUAUUUAAUGUUCAUAGUACAUGCACUACAUAUAAAAUUAUUAAGUAAAAGUUAUGAAUAAUUUACAAACAUAUAUUCCAGACCAUAACUUAGUCUGUUGCAUAAUGUUUAGUUAAAAUUAGUUUCUGAUAAAGUGUUAAGAAAACUCAAUGUAUAUACAUAAGCUUAAGAGUAAUUUUAUUUUCACGUGUACGAAACACUCUAUAAUAUUUUUAUUAAGCACACAUUUUGAGAAGAAAACAUUCUAAAAUUUUCAUUUAAAAUGCUACAAUUUUAUAGAAGUAUCAGUGUCUCACCAUUUUUUCUGAUACAACAAAC
rnacentral:lncRNA from 1 species